AACAGGGCGGGGACGCCGUCCCAGUGGUAAUCGAGUUUGGGGUAAAUAUUAUGUCUCAUUUUUAUUUUUUGACCCGUUGCCUAGUGUCAUGUUGCCUCAGUCAUAUUUCGGAUGGUUUUUGUUGGUACCAUGGACCGUCCUGCGGUCCAUGGACCCAGACCAACCCCUAGGGGCCUAGACGGGCCGGGGGACACGAUUGGGCCGGGGAGCCCGCGAGGCCCAAAGGUGAAGGAAACAGUAUAAAUACCUCCCCUAGUCCAUGUGGGGAGGGGGUUGGAGAUUGGAACAAAGGAACACUCGACGAGUUGAGGGUGCGAGCUCACGUGUAAGAGCCCACACACCAACAAUUAGAAAAUAAUCAAAAUAUAUUUUCUCACAAUUGCUUACCAUUAUUAUAGGUUGAACAAACUGCUUCUGAAAAAGAACUAUUACUUAUGAAAAUUUCUGAGAUGCAAGCUAGGUACAUCUUUUAUUCUAAAUUUACAUACAAAUUUAUCAUCAUUCACUUUUAUUUAUUGUUAUGAUCUUCGUCCAUUUGAAUAUUUGAUGCAUGCCAAUUUUGAGGAUAUCAGGAUAGUACUGCUAACCUUAUACAAAAACCAAACUGCUUCCAACUCUUAUCUUCUUUUCAGGGAGGGUAUCUAAUUUAACAGACGAACUCACUGCAGAAAAAGUUAAAUUUGUGCAGGUAGUUAUUGCAGCCUAUUACCGGAAAGCUUUUCUGUGUAUAUUUUUCUUGUCUGUUUGUAUUUAUCCUCUUAUCAGAUAAGUAGAUUGAAGCAAAACAAAUAUCGAAUGCAAGUGUUUGAUUACAUUGCUCAAUUCUUAUACUCAAUUAGAUAAUUGCCAUCGAUUAGUAUUACGGUAAAAGGAAUAGUUGAAUGUUGAAACUCGCAACACAGAAAGUAGCAUUAUUAUCGGGUUUUUUACUCUAAAGUUCCUUCCUAGUAUACUAAAAAUACCAAUGGGAGUACUCUUAUUCUAAACAGGAUGAUGUUUUUUUGUCUAUUUUUGUGAUGGUAUAGAAUAUAAGGUUCUAACAAGAUAACCUGUUUUGUUUCAAGUGAAUUCUGCAUGUUUCUCGGAAGAAGACAAAAAAAGAGAUGAAAAGGAGGUUUGAUUUCCCAACAUAAUCUCUCGUAUCUGAAUGUCUUUCAGUUUCUUCAUGUAAGUUUAAAAUCCUCGUGUAAAUAAAAGUAUUAUUCUGUUCGUUUAAAUUUAUUCAUGAAAAAGUAUAAAUCUUUGACAUGGAGGAACCUAUUUUUAUUUCAACAGGGGAUAUUUCUAUCUAGGAAGUAGGAACGAAUGACCAACUCCCAAUCUCCCAUAGUUCCAUGAAUCAUGUUAUUGCCAGGUGGUCCUUAUUUUUGUGUGAUGAAUAGCAGAUAUGCUGGUGGAGGUUCUUUUUCGUUUGAUUAAUACAAGGUUAUGUUUAAGGUAGCGUAAUUCUUGUUAUCUUCCAUUGAUAUGUGGAUGGAAUUGGCAAUUGCAAGCGCCUUGUUUUUUAUAAUAAUGCAAUUCUUGUUAUAAACCACUGAUGAUUUCUUUCUAUUCAGUAUUAAACAAACCUUCACCUUAUGACAACAAAUCACUCAAGACAGUAAAAACCAUUAAUUUAUCCUCACAUCCAUCUAGCUAUCAAAGCUGCUUCCAUACUCCCUUCCUUGUUCAUUCCUUUCUCUGUAGCUGAUAUUCAUUUCCAUCCUUUCUCAAUACACGACUUGCUUCAGAAACUCUUCUAAACUUGAACUCGAUUUUCUCAAAGCUUUCCAUAUCCUUGUAUUAUAUUCGCAAAUUACAUGCAUCAAAGUAUAUCUAUAAUUUCACUUGUCUAGAGUAAUAGAGUGCUGGGGAUUUUAAACAAUGGCCAUUCGAGC
rnacentral:lncRNA from 1 species